AUUGAACGCUGGCGGCAUGCCUUACACAUGCAAGUCGAACGGCAGCACGGGUGCUUGCACCUGGUGGCGAGUGGCGAACGGGUGAGUAAUACAUCGGAACAUGUCCUGUAGUGGGGGAUAGCCCGGCGAAAGCCGGAUUAAUACCGCAUACGAUCUACGGAUGUAAGCGGGGGACCUUCGGGCCUCGCGCUAUCGGGUUGGCCGAUGGCUGAUUAGCUAGUUGGUGGGGUAAAGGCCUACCAAGGCGACGAUCAGUAGCUGGUCUGAGAGGACGACCAGCCACACUGGGACUGAGACACGGCCCAGACUCCUACGGGAGGCAGCAGUGGGGAAUUUUGGACAAUGGGCGAAAGCCUGAUCCAGCAAUGCCGCGUGUGUGAAGAAGGCCUUCGGGUUGUAAAGCACUUUUGUCCGGAAAGAAAUCCUUGGCCCUAAUACGGUCGGGGGAUGACGGUACCGGAAGAAUAAGCACCGGCUAACUACGUG
rnacentral:rRNA from 1 species